CAGCCGCCGCGGGAAUACGAAGGGGGCUAGCGUUGUUCGGAUUUACUGGGCGUAAAGGGCGCGUAGGCGGACUGAUAAGUCAGGGGUGAAAUCCCAAGGCUCAACCUUGGAACUGCCUUUGAUACUGUUUGUCUUGAGUUCGAGAGAGGUAAGUGGAACUGCGGGUGUAGAGGUGAAAUUCGUAGAUAUUCGCAAGAACACCAGUGGCGAAGGCGGCUUACUGGCUCGAUACUGACGCUGAGGCGCGAAAGCGUGGGGAGCAAACAGGAUUAGAUACCCGAGUAGUCCCUGUCUCUUAUAA
rnacentral:rRNA from 1 species